rnacentral:rRNA from 1 species
CACGGUAGGGUGCGAGCGUUGUCCGGAAUUAUUGGGCGUAAAGAGCUCGUAGGCGGUGUGUCGCGUCGGCCGUGAAAACCUGCAGCUUAACUGUGGGCUUGCGGUCGAUACGGGCAUCGACUGGAGUUCGGCAGGGGAGACGUGGAAUUCCUGGUGAUAGCGGUGAAAUGCGCAGAUAUCAGGAGGAACACCCGGUGGCGAAAGCGGGCUCUGGCGGA